GAUGAACGCUGGCGGCGUGCCUAAUACAUGCAAGUCGAGCGAACGGACGAGAAGCUUGCUCCUCUGAUGUUAGCGGCGGACGGGUGAGUAACACGUGGAUAACCUACCUAUAAGACUGGGAUAACUUCGGGAAACCGGAGCUAAUACCGGAUGAUAUUUUGAACCGCAUGGUUCAACAGUGAAAGACGGUCUUGCUGUCACUUAUAGAUGGAUCCGCGCCGCAUUAGCUAGUUGGUAAGGUAACGGCUUACCAAGGCAACGAUGCAUAGCCGACCUGAGAGGGUGAUCGGCCACACUGGAACUGAGACACGGUCCAGACUCCUACAGGAGGCAGCAGUAGGGAAUCUUCCGCAAUGGGCGAAAGCCUGACGGAGCAACGCCGCGUGAGUGAUGAAGGUCUUCGGAUCGUAAAACUCUGUUAUUAGGGAAGAACAAAUGUGUAAGUAACUGUGCACAUCUUGACGGUACCUAAUCAGAAAGCCACGGCUAACUACGUG
rnacentral:rRNA from 1 species